CUUUAGCUCAGUUGGUUAGAGCAUCUGACUGUUAAUCAGGGGGUCCUUGGUUCAAGUCCAA
rnacentral:tRNA from 1 species